GUCUACGGCCACACGACCCUGAACGCGCCUGAUCUCGUCUGAUCCCAGAAGCUAAGCAGGAUUGGGCCUGGUUAGUACUUGGAUGGGAGAAUGACUGUUAUCAAAAAGUCCCAAAACAAUAAAUGCUAUUGAAAACA
rnacentral:rRNA from 1 species